UUUCAAGUCAUGGGGUUUAUUGUACAGAGAUCUUUGCAGUUGUUCCCAGUGUCUCCAAAGGGAGGGUACGGAGGAGGGGUCUGGGGACACUCAGCAGGACUGGGUGUCAGCCUCAACAGUGCUGUGGGGAGAGAGGGAGGCGACAUCUGGUGGAGCUCGAGGUGCACCCUACACCGGGGCAUGCGAGGGGGUUGGCCAGGCUGGGUGUGUGGCCUCUGGGUGCAGCCUGUGUUCUGGAGGAGCGGUUGGAAAUCAGUGGCUCAGGUUCCAGGUCUGAGGGGUGGGACGUCGCACUCCAGAGUGGGGCUCACUCUGAAUCCUUCUCACAUGUCACGCCGCAGUGAACCAACUGCCCUGACAGCUUUACUCAGGGCCCGCUUCACUCUCAGGGGACAAAGGCGCAAGGUGGCAUGGUGUGAUUCCCAGCUUGGUUGGGGGGGCAGUUCCCUGACCCUGGAGCUGGGGCUGCUGAGAGAAGGGCAGUGGGCAAGCCGAGAAGGCACGGCUUCCCUCUCACCAGGCCUGGCACUUGGGCAGUGCCCCCUGACCACCUCAGCCCUGGGCGUGGGUCCAUGGGCCACUCAGCCCGGUGGAGGGAGAUGUCAACUGCACCCCACCCCAGGGCUUGCUUCUGGCCCUUCCCAGGAGUCUGGGGUCCUGAUGCUGCCUAGGACAUGUGGUACUGAGAGGCUGUAAUGAGGACCCACCCUGGGUCUUCUCCCCUUCUCUAGGUUGGGGAACACUGGGGGUGGGGCAGGGCUCUUCAUGCCUGUCUUCCACUGCCUGGUACAGGUGGACAGGGCCUUGAGGGCCAGGUUGGGCUCAGGGUCCCCUCUGUCCCGUGAGUGCUGGCUGGAGGUGCCUGCAGCUCCCACACCCUCAGUGUAGUACCAGGGGCUGUGAGGGCCUGGCACUCCUUUGUCAGGAGAGGCAGCCAGCGUCCUGCAGGUGGGGAGUUGGCCCAGGGCUCCAGCCCCAGCCCUGGGCAGUGGUACCGCCCAGGUGAGUGGUCCUCCUGCGGUGAUGGGGCCCUGGAUAGACGGCAUUACCAGACAGUAUUAGACAGAGGCAUCGAGAUCUAACCGUGUCUGGUAAGACGCCCAUCAGAGGCAUGGCAGGGCUGCUCCUGGUCCCGGAGAGAGUCCUGGUGCCUUUGAGGGGGAGUGGGGGCUGCUCCUGCCCAGCCCAGGCUGGCCCCUGACCCUCCUACAUCUGCAGAGCCCUGAGGGCUGGCCCUGGGAUUGUCUGGAGCCCCCCAGGACUGCUCUGAGGACUUUGGGGUGCCCCCCUCAGUGCCCAGCCCCAGGUGGGGGUGUUUGCAGGCACAGCUGGGGAGCGACCCAGCCACCUGCCCUUGAUCUUGGGCUUGCACUCCCCCAGCAGCUUGCCGGUUUCCAGAGUGGCUCCCAGUUGGUUAAUAAGUAACCGGAGAACACAGGGCAGACCCUCGGCCCCUCCCUAGGGAGAGGCCACCGGGGCUCAGGCUGGGUGGGUGCCCGAGCCCCGAGCCCUGAGUCCCCAGUCCUGGCUUCAGAUCAAAAAGAUAAAACAAUGGGUAAUCCUGGCUUGUGAUUUUGGACAAAGUUCCUGUUCUUGCCAGGGGGAGGAACGGAGACUCCUUGUCCUUAGUUAGGAAACAGCCAGGACAUGUCUGCAGGGACCUCUGUGUGGGGUUAGGCCAAUGGAGCCUACUCUGCCUCCCCAGUCCCCAGUGGGCCCACGUGGGUAACAGCCCAUUGCCCACAAGGUCUCCCCACCCAGCCCAGUAUCUGGACCCCUGUGGUCUCUCCAGGACCCAGAUCACUCCAAAGUCCAGCCUAGGGGAAGAGUGGGGGCAGUGCUACGGAGCCUGCCCUGUGCUCCAUAGUGGCACGGGGAGCCCCUGGCAUGAAGAGGCCCAUCCUGGGCAGAGGCGAGCUCCCGAUGAUUGCCAGCUGCAGAGCUGAUAGGUCCUCCCCCGCCUGGCGCCUCUCUGGAGUCCAGGAGCUCAGGAUGGCGCAUCCUCGGGCCAUCUCCGGCGAGUGGUGGGUCACCUUUGAACAUCGUUACCAGACAGUGUUAGAGUUGAGCCAAGAAAUCCAGCACUGUCUGGUAAGAUGCCCACAGAGGCCCAGGUGCACCUCGGCCCAAAGCCAUGCAGCUCCUACAGGCCAGGUGGAGUGCUGGUGGUGGAGGAUCCAGUACAGUGAGCGGCCAGGGCUGCGUCUGGGCUGGACCAGGCCAGCAAGAGAGAGUUCCUGAGAUCCUGAGGCCACACUGUCUGUCCAGAGCAAGGAGACCUGGGGCUGCUGGCCUGGGACCAAGGCUGGCGGUUGCAAGCUGACCUGCCCACCCCGGACACAGGAAGGGAGAGGGGUCUGGACCCAGUGGCCCUUCCUGGGUCACUACACAGCUCCCAAUUCUGGUGGCAGCUCCUGGCGUGAGGCUUUCUGGGCCCAGGCUGGGCCUUUGCUCUCCAGAGCCCUUUGUUCCGCCCAGUCCACACCUGCCAGGUGUGGUGGCAGCACCUGCCCGGGCGCCAGGGGCAGGGCCCGGAUACCUGAGUGUCCUAAUCCGCAGAACAAGUGGGGGGUGCUGGGGUGCCCCCCCACGCAGCUGCUGGCAGCCUUCAUCCUGAGGCCUGAAGGGCUCUCAGAGACGCCUCCCCAAGGUCAGAUUUCUGCCCACUCAGAAGCCACCCAAGUAGGACAGGGUGGACAAGCUGAGAGAAAAGGCCCCAGGGGACAACGGGGGGGGGGGGCGGCCCCCUCGCUGCGUGCAGGGCUCCGCCGUCAUCAUUACCAGGCAGUAUUAGAGAUCAGACAGCAUCCAAUGCUGCCCAGUAAGAUGGCCACGGCUGCCCGAAUGGGUCUGGGGGCCGCCUGGCUGGGGUUCAAGCAGGAACUUGAUGGGGGUGCUCAUCACCUGUUCCUCAGCCUGAGGCAGAGCCAUGUCCUCUUUGGCACUGUGUUGGGGAGCAGCCCCAGGUGGGGCAGGGCAGAGGCCUCUGUGCUUGGGACACCAGUGGGCACCUGGUGGGGGCCAGGUGUCCCACCUCGAGGCUGACAGCCACAAGGGACGGGAGGCAGGGGCUGGUGGAGCAGGCCAGGUGACCAACACCCGGUCAGGGUCAGGUCACAGCUAGCCACUCCCUUUAGGUGUUCCACAGAAAAACUUGGGCAUCAGGUCCAGCCCCCUCAGGGUCCCAGGUAUGUGUGUUGGUAUGUGUGUCUGAGGCUGGGGGGUUUGCAGCCACUGGACAAUGAGCCUCUGUCUCCAAGACACCAACUCCACAGCGUGUCCCUGCCCAGUCCCCGCUCGCCCUUCUCAAGGACCCAGAAGAGAACAGGACAAGGGAUGGAGCAGCAGUGGCCCCAGAGAAGCAGGACAGCCUCCUCCCACUGGGGCCCACACUGCCCUCUGUGCCCCUGUGUCCCUGUGUGGGUGCGUCUGUCUGUCUCUCCUUCCCUGGUCUGAGGGUGGGGUGGGGCUGGGCGCCGGGGAGCCCAGGGGAGCACCUGGCCGGCUGUAGGAUUCAUUGCCUCUGAUCUGAGGUCCGACUGCAGAGUCGACGGGGACAGCAGCCCUGAAGACACUGAGAAUGCCAGGCACCUUCAGGACAGGAGUGUUCAGGACGGGGCUCUUCAGCCCCCUGACCUCUGGUGGCCUCGCCUACUGUCCCUGGGGGACAUGGGGCCUGAGGAAGGGCCAGCCUGGAGCACACCCUCCCAGGCCGGACCCUGCCGCCUGGGCCUGGAGAGCCGGCUGGGGCGGCUUCUCCAGUUUUUAGCACCUUCCACCCACAGAGGGGGCUGCAGCCCUGUGCUGAUUCCCCAGGGCUCCCAGAGACCACAACAAAGGCCGCCUCGCCCUCAGACACUGCCUGGUGCACCUGGCCCUCUACUUUGUCCUCCCCACGGCCAGUGCUUUUCAGGGGACCUCCCCCAGGACAGGCCGUCUGCUCCUCCUGCUCUUUCAGCUCCGCUUCACUGACCCCCGAAAGUCAGUGCUUCAAGAACACAGCUCCAGGGCUGCGGCUGGGGCUCAGUGGUAGCACACUGGCCUCGCAUGUGUGAGGCACUGGGUUCGAUUCUCAGCACCGCACAUAAAUAAAUAAAAAAAAUAAAGUCCACUGACAAGAACAGAAUAUUAAAACAAAACCCUCACAAGUCUACUUUUUCCUGAGCUGUGGGAACCCUUUUUUGAGGACUGGAACUUCAGCCCCCUCCAGGGCGGCAGUGGGGCUGGGUGAGGACUCUGUCCCUCCUGGCUGGGUCCACACAUUCCCUAGCACCCAGUGGACAGGCCGGGCCUCCCCAUGCAUGGGCUCGGGCAGAGCCUGGUGUCCCCAGUGCCCUUGGCUGUUGGGACCAGACCUUCCUGGGGAGCUCUGGGGCUGGGGACACUGCAGGGCCCAGAGCUGGCUUGACCACAAGCCAGGGGGUCAGGCCACUUGCUGUGCACCCCGGCAGAAGUGACCACAGGGAUGUGGACAGGAGGGUCCCACUGAACACAGAAUCUGUGNACUCCCCCAGCAGCUUGCCGGUUUCCAGAGUGGCUCCCAGUUGGUUAAUAAGUAACCGGAGAACACAGGGCAGACCCUCGGCCCCUCCCUAGGGAGAGGCCACCGGGGCUCAGGCUGGGUGGGUGCCCGAGCCCCGAGCCCUGAGUCCCCAGUCCUGGCUUCAGAUCAAAAAGAUAAAACAAUGGGUAAUCCUGGCUUGUGAUUUUGGACAAAGUUCCUGUUCUUGCCAGGGGGAGGAACGGAGACUCCUUGUCCUUAGUUAGGAAACAGCCAGGACAUGUCUGCAGGGACCUCUGUGUGGAGUUAGGCCAAUGGAGCCUACUCUGCCUCCCCAGUCCCCAGUGGGCCCACGUGGGUAACAGCCCAUUGCCCACAAGGUCUCCCCACCCAGCCCAGUAUCUGGACC
rnacentral:lncRNA from 1 species